rnacentral:rRNA from 1 species
AGAUUGAACGCUAGCGGGAUGCUUUACACAUGCAAGUCGAACGGCAGCGCGGACUUCGGUCUGGCGGCGAGUGGCGAACGGGUGAGUAAUAUAUCGGAACGUGCCCAGUAGCGGGGGAUAACUACGCGAAAGCGUGGCUAAUACCGCAUACGCCCUACGGGGGAAAGGGGGGGAUCGCAAGACCUCUCACUAUUGGAGCGGCCGAUAUCAGAUUAGCUAGUUGGUGAGGUAAAGGCUCACCAAGGCGACGAUCUGUAGCUGGUUUGAGAGGACGACCAGCCACACUGGGACUGAGACACGGCCCAGACUCCUACGGGAGGCAGCAGUGGGAAUUUGGACAAUGGGGAAACCCUGAUCCAGCCAUCCCGCGUGUGCGAUGAAGGCCUUCGGUUGUAAGCUACGUUUGCGAGGAAGAAACGGACGUGCCCGUAAGUACCGGACGUCGACGUGAACGGUACCGU